ACAUGUACUAAGCCCACCAAUAUAAUGCCAUAUGUAUAAUGGGUCAUGUGCUUAUCCAAGACAAGAUCUUCUUUGCCUGUGGUCUCAUGACCUGUGUUUGGAAAUAUCUGGGAUAGAAGUCUGUAGAUUCUACCACCCAGGGCUAA
rnacentral:ribozyme from 1 species